rfam:Shewanella sp. YQH10 contig2, whole genome shotgun sequence.
ACACCCGUAGCUCAGCUGGUUAGAGCACUACCUUGACAUGGUAGGGGUCGGUGGUUCGAGUCCACUCGGGUGUA